CGCGGACACACCAGAAGUCCUCCAUGCAGUUCUUGGUCCUCCUGCAGGUUUGCAGCUCUCAUCUCCCGCACCGUGUCGGUGUUUACCCCGGAGGACCACCCAGGGAAACCUCCCAGUGAGAUCUCUGGUGUGGAGAGCUGAAGGCGACGGUGAGCCAUGGAGCGCGUUCUGGGAGGAGGACUGCUCCCACUGGCUCUAACCAGCGUGGGCGUCUUGCUGCUGUACCGCAUACUUCUCCGCCUCAGACAAGGCGCCUCUGUGCAAGAUGCUGUUGUAGUCAUCACAGGGGCCAGCUCAGGGCUCGGCAAAGAGUGUGCACGGGUCUUCCAUGCUGCAGGUGCACGGCUCAUCCUGUGUGGACGGGAUGCGGGCCGCCUGCAGCAGGUGGUCCAGGAGCUUCCAGCCAGUUCAGCAGACUCACAGAAGAAGACUUACACCCCCAACACCGUCAUCUUCGACAUGGCCGACACAGACGCCGUGGAUCGAGCUGCGGAGGAGAUCCUGAGAUGUUAUGGACAAGUGGACGUCCUCAUUAACAAUGCCGGCAUCAGUUACCGUGGCAACAUCCUGCAGACUCACAUUUCGGUCCAGCGGGACGUUAUGGAAACAAAUUACUUUGGGACCAUCGCUCUGACUCAAGCUCUGCUGCCCUUCAUGGUCCGCCGGCGCAGUGGCCACAUCGUAGUCAUCAGCAGCAUUCAGGGAAAGAUCGCCAUUCCUUACAGAUCAGCUUAUGCGGCCUCCAAGCACGCCACCCAGGCCUACUUCGACUGCUUGCGGGCUGAGAUCGAGCGCUACCAGAUUCCAGUGACGGUGAUCAGCCCCGGGUACAUUCGCACCAACCUGUCGCUCAACGCUGUGACGGGAGACGGAUCCAAGUAUGGAGUGUUGGAUAAGACCACAGCGACGGGUCGGGACCCCGCAGAAGUGGCUCAGGCCGUCCUGAAAGCCGUCCGUCACAGAAGCAAAGACGUUGUUUUGGCUGGUGCUUCGCCCACUCUGGCUGUUUACCUCCGAACCCUGUGGCCUGCGCUCUUCUUCAGACUCAUGUCUUCACGCGCUCGCAAGCAGCAGAAAGAUAAAGAGGAGUGACGCGGCGUGCUGGAGGGACGGAGACCCUCGCGGGAAACAGACUGCCGUGGGAGAAGCGACCGCUUCACCUCGUUUCCUUAAAACUGGUCUCAUGACAAGAUGUGAUCACAUGAAGCAGCCGAUCAAAUCAGCUCUCGUCAGGAAUAGAGUUGAAGACUGUGAGUCUGCAUCCACUUUGCCUUAGAUGAAAAUGUUCUUGUGAAGAAAGGAAGAAGUCGGAGAAAACCUCCACAUGGACAGGGAGAACAUGCAGACGUCUCACAGAAAGACAUCAAACUGAAGUCUUGUUUUGUAUCAUGAGGUACAUCAAGCUGCGAUCAGCAGAGAGUAGAAAUGUAAAUAUCUUUUUUGCUUUAUUAAACUCAGGGUUCAAGGAUGCUGGAGUUCAUACUACCGGAAAUAAAAAUCCAAGAUGAGCAAAAAGAAAAGAAGGAUGUACUGCUGUACUUAUUUGUAAGUUUUGCAAAGUUAAGUGAGGCACAGGGAGGGAAAACAGAAACUUCACCACAGAAGUCUUUACCCUGGAAUGGAGCCCGGGUAUUUCACUGUUGAUGGAACGUUUCUCACUCUUCAUGCUUCUGCUGCUGAACUUAAUGUGGCUUUAUAUUGAACGGCGCUGCAGCAGUUUGCACUCGAGUAGGUCCCUGAUUUGCGUCUGAAUUUGACCGGAAAGCAGCCCUUUAUCAGAGACCAGUAAAACGAACCACAAAUCCAAAUGUGACGUUUUGUUUUAGUGUAAAGUUCAACUACUAAUUCAUCGUGUUUUUACAUCUGGAAAUAUCUUUUCCAGUGUGCGAUGCUUGGUAUGAAUGCAGUGAAAUGUAAAGAAUGCCUUUUUUUAAAUUUAGCUCUGACUAAAAUUGCAACAAUUGAAAGUAUUUUUAAAAAUAAAUCUGCAGAAAAAUCUGAAGAAUUGAGGCUACUGCCGUUAAAAGCUUCACAUUUCGCAAUUAGUUUUUUCAAAAAGUUUGCAUUUAAACCAUUUUCCAUAAAAACACACAAUGAAUACAAGAAUUAAGCAUAUUUUUAUUAACUAUCUUUAUACACAGAAUAAAAACACCUUUUACAAACUUAAAACUGUUUUUUCCUCAUUUUUUUUUUAAGAUGUCACCUUAAGUUAUACAGAAAACACUUUUUCAGAAAUGUUACCAAUAAAUAGUCCAAAUAAACAAUUUACAUUACCGUAUAUUACAAAAAGCUCAGUGAAUACUGGAAUUUCCAUUUCUACAAAUCCUUCAAGAACAAAAA